AAUGGGCGCAAGCCUGAUCCAGCCAUGCCGCGUGAGUGAUGAAGGCCCUAGGGUCGUAAAGCUCUUUCGCCUGUGAAGAUAAUGACGGUAGCAGGUAAAGAAACCCCGGCUAACUCCGUGCCAGCAGCCGCGGUAAUACGGAGGGGGUUAGCGUUGUUCGGAAUUACUGGGCGUAAAGCGCGCGUAGGCGGAUUAGUCAGUCAGAGGUGAAAUCCCAGGGCUCAACCCUGGAACUGCCUUUGAUACUGCUAGUCUUGAGUUCGAGAGAGGUAAGUGGAAUUCCGAGUGUAGAGGUGAAAUUCGUAGAUAUUCGGAGGAACACCAGUGGCGAAGGCGGCUUACUGGCUCGAUACUGACACUGAGGUGCGAAAGUGUGGGGAGCAAACAGGAUU
rnacentral:rRNA from 1 species